rnacentral:rRNA from 1 species
GCCCAACCAUAAACUUUGAUAAUAAGAUACAAAUAUUAUCCGCCAGGGAACUACAAGCGCAUUGCUCGAAACCCAACGGACUUGGCGGUGCCCCACACCCACCUAGAGGAGCCUGUUCUAUAACUGACAAUCCCCGUUUAACCUCACCACCCCUAGCUUAAUCAGUCUAUAUACCACCGUCGUAAGCUCACCCUGUGAAGGCCCAAUAGUAAGCAAGAUGGGCACAACCCAAUACGUCAGGUCGAGGUGUAGCACAUGGGGCGGGAAGAAAUGGGCUACAUUUUCUGCCCAACAGAAUAUCAACGAAUAACGACAUGAAACUGUCGUUUAAAGGAGGAUUUAGCAGUAAAAAGAAAAUAGAGUGUUCUUUUGAAGCCGGCCCUGGGGCGCGC